rnacentral:lncRNA from 1 species
ACCUUUCAGCAAGUGCAUGAACCAUGAAGCACAGCUUUUCUAACACCAACAAGGCCUGAAUUAAAAGCAAAGAGGUACCUGCCGCAACAGAGGAAGAAAGAAGGCAGACCAUGGGAGUUUGCAACCAACACACUCCAGAUGGGACUUCGAUAAAAUCAUUGGCUGAUGCUGAUUGGAUGCCCUGUCCUGUGCCAUCUCUGACACGGGUUGAUCCUUGCCCAGUGCAAACAGAUGGGGGAUUGUCUCCAGUGUCAAUGAGCACACCAGUUGUUGGAAUAAAAGCAUGUACAGAGGAUGAAAAAAUCCACCAGGAUGUUCUGUGUUGGGAAUUAUUACUCAAGGAGCAACAAAACACAAUAAAAAUAAUUCACCAUGAACGAUUCCUCUAUGAAGUCUGUGAAUAACGUGGAAAAUGAUGGCGAUGUUUGUUAAGUGAAGAAAGUAGACCCUGGAAUUCCUUAUGUGAGGGAGGCUGCAGUGUUCGUGGUGGAGUACUGGUGUGGGCAGUCAGGAAGGUGGCCACCACCCCUCACCGUGGACCCGGGGUGAUUUGAAUUGAAGAAAUUGCACUUUAAAAAUUAAAAUGUUCUGUUACAUCUGGUUCUUAAAGAGCUUUAAAUACUAUUUAUUUUUAUAUUUUGUGUUCAGUGUUUUGCCUGCAUGGGUAUGUGUACCAUGUGUGCACCUGGUGCCUGCAGAGGUCAGAAGGAGCACAGGUUCCCAUGUCUUGGCAUUACAGAUGGUUGUAAGCGAUUGAUGGGUAUUGAAACUGGGACCUCAAAAAGAGCAUCUUUUAGCGCUUAGCUACUGAGACACCACUCCAGAACACCAGCAUAUCUUUAUAAUGAAAAUAAUUAGUAAGCAUGAUAACCCACAAGGUUGUCAGACAUUACGGAGAUGGGGAAAUAAGACUAUGCAUGAUCUUUAAGGUUUAACUUUGAAACAUCCUAGCAUUUUGUCUUGUUAUUUCCUGACUAGCCCUGUCUGUUUAACAAUAAAUUUCCUAAAACAUAAAGUCGUGAGGGAGUA